rnacentral:siRNA from 1 species
CAUAUUAGUGCAGAUCUCGUACG